ACUGCUCAGUAACACGUGGACAACCUGCCCUUAGGUUGGGUAUAAACCCGGGAAACUGGGUAUAAUACCCGAUAGGUCUCGAUUGCUGGAAUGCAUCGAGAUUUAAAGCUCCGGCGCCUAAGGAUGGGUCUGCGGCCUAUCAGGUAGCAGUGGGUGUAGCGUACCUACUAGCCUACGACGGGUACGGGUUGUGAGAGCAAGAGCCCGGAGAUGGAUUCUGAGACACGAAUCCAGGCCCUACGGGGUGCAGCAGGCGCGAAAACUUUACAAUGCUGGCAACAGCGAUAAGGGAACCUCGAGUGCCAGGUUACAAAUCUGGCUGUCGAGAUGCCUAAAAAGCAUUUCAUAGCAAGGGCCGGGCAAGACCGGUGCCAGCCGCCGCGGUAACACCGGCGGCUCGAGUGGUAACCGUUAUUAUUGGGUCUAAAGGGUCUGUAGCCGGCCGGAUAAGUCUCUUGAGAAAUCUGGCAGCUUAACUGUCAGGCUUUCAGGAGAUACUGUCUGGCUCGAGGCCGGGAGAGGUGUGAGGUACUUCAGGGGUAGGGGUGAAAUCUUGUAAUCCUUGAAGGACCACCAGUGGCGAAGGCGUCUCACCAGAACGGACCUGACGGCAAGGGACGAAAGCUAGGGGCACGAACCGGAUUAGAUACCCGGGUAGUCCUAGCCGUAAACGAUACUCGCUAGGUGUCGGCCACGGUGCGACCGUUGUCGGUGCCGUAGGGAAGCCGUGAAGCGAGCCACCUGGGAAGUACGGCCGCAAGGCUGAAACUUAAAGGAAUUGGCGGGGGAGCAC
rnacentral:rRNA from 1 species